rnacentral:rRNA from 1 species
CCUACGGGAGGCUGCAGUAGGGAAUAUUGCUCAAUGGGGGAAACUCUGAAGCAGCAACGCCGCGUGGAGGAUGAAGGCUUUCGGAUUGUAAACUCCUUUUGUUAGAGAAGAUAAUGACGGUAUCUAACGAAUAAGCACUGGAGAACUCCGUGCCAGCAGCCGCGGUAAUACGGAGGGUGCAAGCGUUACUCGGAAUCACUGGGCGUAAAGAGCGCGUAGGGGGGAUAGCAAGUCAGAUGUGAAAUCCUAUGGCUUAACCAUAGAACUGCAGUUGAAACUGUUAUUCUAGAGUACAGGAGAGGUAGGUGGAAUUCUUGGUGUAGGGGUAAAAUCCGUAGAGAUCAAGAGGAAUACUCAUUGCGAAGGCGACCUGCUGGAACAUAACUGACGCUGAGGCGCGAAAGCGUGGGGAGCAAACAGGAUUAGAUACCCCAGUAGUC